rnacentral:rRNA from 1 species
AGUGAACGCUGGCGGCGUGCCUAAUACUUGCAAGUCGAACGGAGAUUAAGUAGCUUGCUAUUUAAUCUUAGUGGCGCACGGGUGAGUAAUAUAUAGCUAACUUGCCCAUUACUAAGGGACAACAGUUGGAAACGACUGCUAAUACCUUAUACUCCGUAUCUAUAUAAGUAGAUACGGGAAAGUUUUUCGGUAAUGGAUAGGGCUAUAUCGUAUCAGCUAGUUGGUAAGGUAAUGGCUUACCAAGGCUAUGACGCGUAACUGGUCCGAGAGGAUGAUCAGUCACACUGGAACUGAGACACGGUCCAGACUCCUACGGGAGGCAGCAGUAGGGAAUAUUGCUCAAUGGGGGAAACCCUGAAGCAGCAACGCCGCGUGGAGGAUGACACUUUUCGGAGCGUAAACUCCUUUUCUUGGGAAAGAAUUAUGACGGUACCCAAGGAAUAAGCACCGGCUAACUCCGUG